CUUUAUUUUUAAAUUUUUAUUUCCUCUCCAAUGCAUGCCAGAGUAACUGGAGAGACUUUGACAGCCCAGGCCAGCACAGUGCCUGCAGCUGCCACUCGACUUUCCUAUAUAU